rnacentral:lncRNA from 1 species
UCUCCAUUGAACACUGUUUAAGAGAACUUCUACAGCACUUCACUAACCAAAUAACAUCAUUCUGAUGUGAAAUAGAAACAUGAUUCAGCUGAAGUCACUCAGAUGAUUUAUCUUCCCACAUAAGAGAGAGACCAACAGCAAAUGCCCACUGACUGCCAGGUAUCACAAGAAGAGCUGAGGCACAAGGAGAGUUGAAGAUCUCUACUUUCAAGUUAGUUCCUACACCAGUUCUGUCAUUAUUUGUUGGGGAGGAGACGGACUACUACAUCUCUCAACUUUCUAAACUAUAAAAUGUAAAUAAAACUUUCUUACACAACAUACACAACUGCAGUGAAAAUUAAACCAUGUAACUA